rnacentral:rRNA from 1 species
AGUGAACGCUGGCGGUAGGCCUAACACAUGCAAGUCGAACGGCAGCACAGUAAGAGCUUGCUCUUACGGGUGGCGAGUGGCGGACGGGUGAGGAAUACAUCGGAAUCUACUUUUUCGUGGGGGAUAACGUAGGGAAACUUACGCUAAUACCGCAUAUGACCUACGGGUGAAAGCAGUGGAUCUUCGGACCUUGCGCGACUGAAUGAGCCGAUGUCGGAUUAGCUAGUUGGCGGGGUAAAGGCCCACCAAGGCGACGAUCCGUAGCUGGUCUGAGAGGAUGAUCGGCCACACUGGAACUGGGACACGGUCCAGACUCCUACGGGAGGCAGCAGUGGGGAAUAUUGGGCAAUGGGCGCAAGCCUGAUCCAGCCAUGCCGCGUGGGUGAAGAAGGCCUUCGGGUUGUAAAGCCCUUUUGUUGGGAAAGAACAGCAGCAGGUUGAUACCCCGCUGUUCUGACGGUACCCAAAGAAUAAGCACCGGCUAACUUCGUG